UAGCUGGUCUGAGAGGAUGACCAGCCACACUGGAACUGAGACACGGUCCAGACUCCUACGGGAGGCAGCAGUGGGGAAUAUUGCACAAUGGGGGCAAGCCUGAUGCAGCCAUCCCGCGUGUGUGAAGAAGGCCUUCGGGUUGUAAAGCACUUUCAGCGAGGAGGAAGGUGGUGAGCUUAAUACGCUCAUCAAUGACGUACU
rnacentral:rRNA from 1 species